GUAGGGACCAAGCGUUGUCCGGAUUCAUUGGGCGUAAAGAGCUCGUAGGCGGUUCAGUAAGUCGGGUGUGAAACCUCCAGGCUCAACCUGGAGACGCCACCCGAUACUGCUGUGACUAGAGUCCAGUAGGGGAGCGUGGAAUUCCUGGUGUAGCGGUGAAAUGCGCAGAUAUCAGGAGGAACACCAGCGGCGAAGGCGGCGCUCUGGGCUGGAACUGACGCUGAGGAGCGAAAGCGUGGGGAGCGAACAGGAUUAGAUACCCUGGUAGUCCACGCCGUAAACGUUGGGUACUAGGUGUGGGGUCUUAUCAACGGAUUCCGUGCCGAAGCUAACGCAUUAAGUACCCCGCCUGGGGAGUACGGCCGCAAGGCUAAA
rnacentral:rRNA from 1 species